rnacentral:rRNA from 1 species
AUUGAACGCUGGCGGCAGGCCUAACACAUGCAAGUCGAGCGGAUGACGGGAGCUUGCUCCUUGAUUCAGCGGCGGACGGGUGAGUAAUGCCUAGGAAUCUGCCUGGUAGUGGGGGACAACGUUUCGAAAGGAACGCUAAUAUCGCAUACGUCCUACGGGAGAAAGCAGGGGACCUUCGGGCCUUGCGCUAUCAGAUGAGCCUAGGUCGGAUUAGCUAGUAGGUGAGGUAAUGGCUCACCUAGGCGACGAUCCGUAACUGGUCUGGGAGGAUGAUCAGUCACACUGGAACUGAGACACGGUCCAGACUCCUACGGGAGGCAGCAGCGGGGAAUAUUGGACGAUGGGCGAAAGCCAGAUCCAGCCAUGCCGCGUGUGUGAAGAAGGUCUUCGGAUUGUAAAGCACUUUAAGUUGGGAGGAAGGGCAGUAAGCUAAUACCUUGCUGUUUUGACGUUACCGACAGAAUAAGCACCGGCUAACUUCGAGCCAGCCGCCGCUGUAACAC